rnacentral:lncRNA from 1 species
AAUGAAAGAUCUUUUUAUUGUAGGGGAUCAAAAUAUGCCUCCCAAAAAUAUGCCAGUCUGGCAUAAGGAUUAUCUUGAGCUGAAGGCAAUUAAGAAAAAACAGAAAUAGGGCAAGUUUCUGCCCUCCUUAAUCUGCCUGAAAACAAGGCAUACAGUUUCCCUCUGAAGGUGCCUCCCUCUUCCCAUCAAGGAAGACGAGAACAACCCUUAUCACCAGAGAUGAAGAUGGCUUCAGAAGAUUCUACAAAAACAAAUCUUACAGACGAGCCCUUUUUUUUAAUUUGUUCUUUAUUAUACUUUAUGUUCUGGGGUGCAUGUGCAGACUAGCUCUUUAAUAAUACUAGCGUCUCCCAGAUAUCUACCUUUCCAUAAUUUGUUUCCCCUAAAAAGUUCAGAAACCUCCUUCUUUUGUAUUACUUCUCUAUAAAUUUAUUACCCCUUAUUCAGAUGACACGAAAUCCUCAAAGACAAGGUGCUGCUUUGACUUUUUUUCCUUCAUGAGUGACCCCUCCCACGAUGCCAUGGAAAAUUCAUAACAUCAAAUACAAUUUGUAAGCUUUUCUCUUGUUAAUGUGCUUUUGUCAAUUAAUUUUGCAGAUCAAACACUGAAUUUUUUUUUUCAAUUUUUUUUCCUUCUUGUAUAUAGUGUAACCAAGGACAUAGAAAAUAAUUUUCCCUGAGGCCCAGUUUCCAGAGGACAGAAAAGUUGGUCCCAGGCCAUCAAAGCAAUCUUAUGCUAAAGGGAUACACCAUCAAGGGCUUCACUAAGCCUUGUAUGAAGUACAAGAUAAUCAAUGAAGUCUGGAGUUAGAAAUCUGGGCUCUCUGUUUCCUGUCACAAAACUUCUGGUUUCCAAGCCCUUUACAAGAGAACUUUAUGAAAAUACCAUAUACAUACCACCUCUGGCUCUCAAUUUAGGAAUAUUCUCACUAAAGUCAUCCUGUUACUGUCUUUAA